rnacentral:sRNA from 1 species
GGGCAAGAGGUUCGACCCGAGCGCAGCGAGAGAACGUUGCGUCAGCAACGGCCCGCAGGGCGAGCCACGCAGUGGCGAGUCAUCCUCUAUCACCGACCA